GUAUUGGAGCCUCUCGAGUUUGAUCCUGGGUCACUUGGUUCUAGCUGGUACCGGCGGUGGGUGAGUAAUGCUUUUAUCCCGGCCCAGUAGUGGGGGAUAGCCCGGGGAAACCCGGAUUAAUACCGCAUACGUCCUACGGGAGAAAGGAGGGGAUCUUCGGACCUUGCGCUAUUGGAUGAGCCUAAGUCGGAUUAGCUAGUUGGUGGGGUAAAGGCCUACCAAGGCGACGAUCCGUAGCUGGUCUGAGAGGAUGAUCAGCCACAUCGGGACUGAGACACGGCCCGAACUCCUACGGGAGGCAGCAGUGGGGAAUAUUGGACAAUGGGGGCAACCCUGAUCCAGCCAUGCCGCGUGUGUGAAGAAGGCUUUCGGGUUGUAAAGCACUUUCAGUAGGGAGGAAAACCUUAUGGCUAAUACCCAUGAGGCUUGACGUUACCUACAGAAGAAGCACCGGCUAACUCCGUGCCAGCACCCGCGGUAAUACGGAGGGUGCAAGCGUUAAUCGGAAUUACUGGGCGUAAAGCGCGCGUAGGUGGUUUGGUAAGCGAGAUGUGAAAGCCCCGGGCUUAACCUGGGAACGGCAUUUCGAACUGUCAGGCUAGAGUGUGGUAGAGGGUAGUGGAAUUUCCUGUGUAGCGGUGAAAUGCGUAGAUAUAGGAAGGAACACCAGUGGCGAAGGCGGCUACCUGGACCAACACUGACACUGAGGUGCGAAAGCGUGGGGAGCAAACAGGAUUAGAUACCCUGGUAGUCCACGCCGUAAACGAUGUCAACUACCCGUUGGGACUCUUGAAGUCUUAGUGGCGCAUCUAACGCACUAAGUUGACCGCCUGGGGAGCGUAAAGCGCGCCCUAGGUGGUUUGGUUAAGCGAGAUGUGAAAGCCCACGGGCUCUAACCUGGGAACGGCAUUGCGAACUGUGAGGCUAGAGUGUGGUAGAGGNUAGUGGAAUUUCCUGUGUAGCGGUGAAAUGCGUAGAUAUAGGAAGGAACACCAGUGGGGAAGGCGGCUACCUGGACCAACACUGACACUGAGGUGCGAAAGCGUGGGGAGCAAACAGGAUUAGAUACCCUGGUAGUCCACGCCGUAAACGAUGUCAACUAGCCGUUGGGACUCUUGAAGUCUUAGUGGCGCAGCUAACGCACUAAGUUGACCGCCUGGGGAGUACGGCCGCAAGGUUAAAACUCAAAUGAAUUGACGGGGGCCCGCACAAGCGGUGGAGCAUGUGGUUUAAUUCGACGCAACGCGAAGAACCUUACCUGGCCUUGACAUCCAGAGAACUUUCCAGAGAUGGAUUGGUGCCUUCGGGAACUCUGAGACAGGUGCUGCAUGGCCGUCGUCAGCUCGUGUCGUGAGAUGUUGGGUUAAGUCCCGUAACGAGCGCAACCCCUAUCCCUGGUUGCUAGCAGGUAAUGCUGAGAACUCCAGGGAGACUGCCGGUGACAAACCGGAGGAAGGUGGGGAUGACGUCAGGUCAUCAUGGCCCUUACGGCCAGGGCUACACACGUGCUACAAUGGCGCGUACAGAGGGCUGCCAACUCGCGAGAGUGAGCCAAUCCCUUAAAACGCGUCGUAGUCCGGAUCGGAGUCUGCAACUCGACUCCGUGAAGUCGGAAUCGCUAGUAAUCGCGAAUCAGAAUGUCGCGGUGAAUACGUUACCGGGCAACAAACACACCGCCCGUCACUCCCAUAGAGUUGAUCCACCUCAAG
rnacentral:rRNA from 2 species